GGGCCCGCACAAGCGGUGGAGCAUGUGGUUUAAUUCGAUGCAACGCGAAGAACCUUACCAGGGCUUGACAUACUACGAAUCUUUUUGGAGAAAAAAGAGUGCCUUCGGGAAUGUAGAUACAGGUGGUGCAUGGCUGUCGUCAGCUCGUGUCGUGAGAUGUUGGGUUAAGUCCCGCAACGAGCGCAACCCUUAUUUUUAGUUACCAAUUCGUUGGGUUCUCUAGAAAGACUGCCGGUGACAACCGGAGGAAGGUGAGGAUGACGUCAAGUCAGCAUGCCCCUUAUGUCCUGGGCUACACACGUGCUACAAUGGUUAGGACAAGAGUUGCAAGUUUGUAAAACAAGCU
rnacentral:rRNA from 1 species